rnacentral:rRNA from 1 species
AUUGAACGCUGGCGGCAGGCCUAACACAUGCAAGUCGAGCGGUAGCACAAGGAGCUUGCUCCUGGGUGACGAGUGGCAGACGGGUGAGUAACGCGUGGGAACCUGCCCUGUGGUAGGGAAUAACCGCGGGAAACUGCGGCUAAUACCCUAUGUGUCCUGAGGGACAAAGAUUUAUCGCCAUAGGAGGGGCCCGCGUCGGAUUAGGUAGUUGGUGGGGUAACGGCCUACCAAGCCAUCGAUCCGUAGCUGGUCUGAGAGGAUGAUCAGCCACACUGGGACUGAGAUACGGCCCAGACUCCUACGGGAGGCAGCAGUGGGGAAUAUUGGACAAUGGGGGCAACCCUGAUCCAGCAAUGCCGCGUGGAUGAUGAAGGCCUUCGGGUUGUAAAGUCCUUUCGGCGGGGAAGAUGAUGACGGUACCCGCAGAAGAAGCCCCGGCUAACUCCGUGCCAGCAGCCGCGGUAAUACG